rnacentral:pre_miRNA from 1 species
GCACCAGUACUUACGUUUCGGUAUUAAGAAAGCAGUGUAUGGAAUGAAGUUUGAUCCAAGAUCAGGAGGACGGACUCCGUCUCCCAAAUCUCGGACCAGGCUUCAUUCCUCACACCCUUUCUUUUCCAUCCGUAGUUCGUAGUAUUAUUGU